GGCAUUUGUUUCCAUCUUUACCGCUAAGUAUACUACAUACAUUUUCAUUAUGUUUCUAUCUUGAUGUCAGUCUCCACUCCUGGCAUAAAAUACACACUAGUUACCUGGGAGGAAAAAUACCAAUGUGGUAUUUUAUACUUUACUGACUCCAAAGGUACCGCGAAAUGCGAGCUGCAUGCCUGGAAUUCAGGAGCCCCCAACGCAUCUCAAAACUGCAAUGAUGAUUACACGAAAUAUUGUCAAGAGUAUGAAAGAAGCCAGACUCCGCAGACUGUGUACUCCAGUAGCUGCACAGCCCAACCAGGCUGCUAGGAGCUCCUUGUCAACAGAGCAAUGUCCACCCUAAGAAGGUGCUCACAAUAAAAUAUUCGCUCCUUUUUUAUUAUUUAA